GGAAGUAAAAGUCGUAACAAGGUUUCCGUAGGUGAACCUGCGGAAGGAUCAUUCACACAUUCAAUUCACAUAACGUGAACCAGUCAGACCGUAACAAGUCUGGCUAUCAACAUUUGUUGGGUUAAUUAUCAAGACUUACCUAAGCAUUAUUAACUAUCAGCGAUGGAUGUCUUGGCUCCCACAACGAUGAAGGCCGCAGCAAAAUGCGAUAAGCAUUGUGAAUUGCAGACUUCUUAGAAUCAACAGAACGCUGAACGCAUACGGCACCGUACUUGUACGGUAGGUCUGUUUCAGAGUCACUUUCGAUCUUCCCAAAACUCUUCUUUGGAGAGCGGACGGAAGGCAAGGUACUGCUCGUCUAUUUUACUAUGGAUUGGCAGUCGCAUUGUUCUAUGGCUACUCGUUUUCAACAUAUUCGACUCGCUCGGUUGUUGCAUAUACGGGUAAUAUAGCUAUAGCUUACAACUUAUAUGACCUGAAAUCAGACCAGGCUACCCGCUGGACUUAAGCAUAUUAGUCAGCGGAGGAAAGGGCGAUCCC
rnacentral:rRNA from 1 species